GGGGGUACAGAUAGAGGGAUGAUGGAGGGAUCUUAACAUCACUUAGGAGAGAAAGAGAGAGAGGGGGGGGUGCAGAUAGAGGGAUGAUGGAGGGAUCUUAACAUCACUUAGGAGAGAAAAGAGAGGGGGUGCAGAUAGAGGGAUGAUGGAGGGAUCUUAACAUCACUUAGGAGAGAAAGAGAGAGGGGAGGGGGUGCAGAUAGAGGGAUGAUGGAGGGAUCUUAACAUCACUUAGGAGAGAAAGAGAGAGAGGGGGUGCAGAUAGAGGGAUGAUGGAGGGAUCUUAACAUCACUUAGGAGAGAAAGAGAGAGAGAGGGGGGUGCAGAUAGAGGGAUGAUGGAGGGAUCUUAACAUCACUUAGGAGAGAAAGAGAGAGGGGGUGCAGAUAGAGUGAUGAUGGAGGAUCAAAAUGGCAGUCAGGAGAAAGAGGGAAAGGCACCUGAGUUAGACAGGGUCCUGGGAAGGGUGCCAUGUGGUCUGAGGGAGGAGGGGGGCCAGCCUGAGCCUGAUCUGAUCCCACAGGCAACACCUAAUAAACAGAGGGAUGAAGAGAGGGAUGAAACAGAGAGAAGAGGAGAGAUAGGAGAACAUAAUGCACUGCAGCCACAUGCAGCUGGAAGGACAGGGGAUUCUACCUGCUGCUCUCUGACACUGACUGGGACAUUAGACAAUAAACAAAGACUGUAGUGUUACUUAAGAAAUAAGGCCCGAGGAGGUGUGGUAUAUGGCCAAUAUACCAAGCGUAAGAACUAUUCUUAUGCACGAUGCAACGUGGAGUGCCUGGAUACAGCCGUUAGCCAUGGUAUAUUGGCCAUAUAGCACCUUUGGGCUCCUGAGUGGCGCAGCGGUCAAAGGCACUGCAUCUCAGCGCUUGAGGCGUCACUACAGACGCCCUGGUUCGAUUCCAGGCUGUACCACAAAUGGUCGUGAUUGGGAGUCCCAUAGGGUGGCGCACAAUUGGCCCAGCGUCGUCCAGGUUUGGCCGGUGUAGGCCGUCAUUGUAAAUAAGAAUUUGUUCUUAACUGACUUGCCUAGUUCAAUAAAGGUUAAAUAAAUACUAAUGUACCACGAACCUCCAGGGUGCCUAAUUGCUAUUAUAAACUGGGUGGGUCGAGCCCUGAAUGCUGAUUGGCUGACAGCCGUGGUAUAUCAGACCGUAUAACACGGGUAUGACAAAACAUUUUUACUCCUCUAAUUACAUUGGUAACUGGUUUAUAAUAGCAGUAAGGCACGCUGGGGGUUAUCAUGGCAAAGGGCUGUGUCCAGGUACUCCGAAUGGCACUGUGCGUAAGAACAGCCCUUAGCUGUGGUAUAUUUACUGGCCAUAUACCACAGUAUAUUGCAUCAUACCUGUGGUACUGUACAUUGUCUGGUAUACCACGGCUUUUGGCCAAUCAGCAUCCAGGAGCCAAAUUACCCGGUUCAUAAUAUGGCUUCUCCAUUUUUUUCUAUACCUUUAUUUAACUAGUCAAGUCAGUUAAGAACACAUUCUUAUUUACAAUGACGGCCUACACCGGCC
ensembl:lncRNA